rnacentral:ncRNA from 1 species
AUCGAACCAUCAACAAUUAGGUGGUUAAGAGUCACAGGAAAAGCUGUGGCUAGUGGACUUGUAAAAGUCUGCAAGACUGUCAAAUUGCCGGGACAUCCUGUUGAUGCCAAAGGUACCGCUACCAAACUGAAAAGUUUGGUGGCACUGUAGUGAAAACUGCAGGUGUGGUAACAAUCCAUUGGUGAGGGACAAUCGGCAGCCAAGCGCUUCGGGUUUUUCGGCCCAUGCGUGCAGUUCACAGACUAGAUGGCAGUCGGCUGAUCAACAAAUUAAUAGUUGGUCGGCUUAAGAUAUAGUCGGCUCCCACAGUGAUGUGGCU